rnacentral:rRNA from 1 species
UACAGAGGGUGCAAGCGUUGUUCGGAAUUAUUGGGGCGUAAAGCGCGUGUAGGCGGCUUUGCAAGUCGGGUGUGAAAAGCCCCUUCAGCUUAAACUGGAGGAAGUGCCGCCCGAAAACUGACAGAGCUUGAAUACCGGAGAGGAUGGCGGAAUUCCCCAAGUAGAGGUGAAAUUCGUAGAUAUGGGGAGGAACACCGGUGGCGAAGGCGGCCAUCUGGACGGCUAUUGACGCUGAGACGCGAAAGCGUGGGGAGCAAACAGG